AACGCACCUUGCGCCCUUUGGCUAUUCCGAAGGGCAUGCCUGUUUGAGUAUCAUGAACACCUCAACUCUCAUGGUCUGCCAUGAUGAGCUUGGACUUUGGGGGUCUUGCCGGCCCAGUGUCGGCUCCUCUAAAAUGGAUCAGCUUGCCAGUGUUUGGUGGCAUCACAGGUGUGACAACUAUCUACGCUUGUGGUUCCCUGCCAUGUAACCUUCAGCAAUGGAGGCUCACUGGAGCUCACAGAUGUCUCUCUUCAGUGAGGACAGCUCUUUGAACGUUUGAUCUCAAAUCAGGUAGGACUACCCGCUGAACUUAA
rnacentral:misc_RNA from 1 species